CCCUAUUUACAGCUUUCACUGAGAAAUUAUUCUCACUUUAUUUGAAAACAGUUAUUGUUUUUGUUCCAGAGGUGAAGAAUUGAGUAGAAAUGAACAUACAGAUCAGGAUGUGUGUCAUGUCUCAGUGACAGGACGCCCUCUGUUGGUCACAUGGCUCAUAGUUGUAAGUUCCCCCAGGCUCAAAACCAGCACACUACCGCACUAAAUAGUAUUCUUUGACUAGUACACCACCUCUGGUUGGACACACUACUUAGUAAGGAAGUAUACGAGGAAGAAGGCAAAUCAUUUGACAGCCUCAGGCUCUGUGAAAAAAAAGUUUCCCCAGGCGAAACGUUGUAGACAGAAGCGGAAGCGUUUUGUGACGUCACGAAAAAAGAGGUUCUUUCACUAAAAGGAACAUGAGUUACAGAAUGUAGCCCAGCAAAAUUGCCAAGGACACCGGACGUGAAGAUUUCAGACGUGACUUCCAGGCUCUGCUGUAGCCUUUUAGAGCAGGGAUCGGCUCAGCAGCUUCAGUCAGACGAAGACCUGCGAGUCCAAAUUCCUCUUUCACGUCUUUGGCGUCUUGAUCCACUAGGGGCCAGCAUCGCCAUUCAGGAUCUAUUUAGAAGCCGUUCAGCACACUAAACUCUGGUAUCCUGUGCCGUCUUCCUCUCUUCAUCUCUGUGUGACCUGCGUUCCCUGUCCUCCAUCUGUUCCCCUUCAGGCUCUGCUGGAGCCACGUGUAUCCAUCACCCUGAACGGGAAGCAAGAGGAAGGAUGUGGCCUCCUCACCCAGGACCUCCACCUCUCUCCUGGGAACCUGAGGCACAGCCCUCUCCAGGUUAAAGCACACAAAGAUGUGUCCACCCUCACAGAUGUGUGUUCAGGUGUGGAUCUG